rnacentral:rRNA from 1 species
AAAUUGAAGAGUUUGAUCAUGGCUCAGAUUGAACGCUGGCGGCAGGCCUAACACAUGCAAGUCGAGCGGUAGCACAGAGAGCUUGCUCUCGGGUGACGAGCGGCGGACGGGUGAGUAAUGUCUGGGAAACUGCCUGAUGGAGGGGGAUAACUACUGGAAACGGUAGCUAAUACCGCAUAAUGUCGCAAGACCAAAGUGGGGGACCUUCGGGCCUCAUGCCAUCAGAUGUGCCCAGAUGGGAUUAGCUAGUAGGUGGGGUAACGGCUCACCUAGGCGACGAUCCCUAGCUGGUCUGAGAGGAUGACCAGCCACACUGGAACUGAGACACGGUCCAGACUCCUACGGGAGGCAGCAGUGGGGAAUAUUGCACAAUGGGCGCAAGCCUGAUGCAGCCAUGCCGCGUGUGUGAAGAAGGCCUUCGGGUUGUAAAGCACUUUCAGCGGGGAGGAAGGCGUUAAGGUUAAUAACCUCAUCGAUUGACGUUACCCGCAGAAGAAGCACCGGCUAACUCCGUGCCAGCAGCCGCGGUAAUACGGAGGGUGCAAGCGUUAAUCGGAAUUACUGGGCGUAAAGCGCACGCAGGCGGUCUGUCAAGUCGGAUGUGAAAUCCCCGGGCUCAACCUGGGAACUGCAUUCGAAACUGGCAGGCUAGAGUCUUGUAGAGGGGGGUAGAAUUCCAGGUGUAGCGGUGAAAUGCGUAGAGAUCUGGAGGAAUACCGGUGGCGAAGGCGGCCCCCUGGACAAAGACUGACGCUCAGGUGCGAAAGCGUGGGGAGCAAACAGGAUUAGAUACCCUGGUAGUCCACGCCGUAAACGAUGUCGAUUUGGAGGUUGUGCCCUUGAGGCGUGGCUUCCGGAGCUAACGCGUUAAAUCGACCGCCUGGGGAGUACGGCCGCAAGGUUAAAACUCAAAUGAAUUGACGGGGGCCCGCACAAGCGGUGGAGCAUGUGGUUUAAUUCGAUGCAACGCGAAGAACCUUACCUGGUCUUGACAUCCACAGAACUUAGCAGAGAUGCUUUGGUGCCUUCGGGAACUGUGAGACAGGUGCUGCAUGGCUGUCGUCAGCUCGUGUUGUGAAAUGUUGGGUUAAGUCCCGCAACGAGCGCAACCCUUAUCCUUUGUUGCCAGCGGUCCGGCCGGGAACUCAAAGGAGACUGCCAGUGAUAAACUGGAGGAAGGUGGGGAUGACGUCAAGUCAUCAUGGCCCUUACGACCAGGGCUACACACGUGCUACAAUGGCAUAUACAAAGAGAAGCGACCUCGCGAGAGCAAGCGGACCUCAUAAAGUAUGUCGUAGUCCGGAUUGGAGUCUGCAACUCGACUCCAUGAAGUCGGAAUCGCUAGUAAUCGUAGAUCAGAAUGCUACGGUGAAUACGUUCCCGGGCCUUGUACACACCGCCCGUCACACCAUGGGAGUGGGUUGCAAAAGAAGUAGGUAGCUUAACCUUCGGGAGGGCGCUUACCACUUUGUGAUUCAUGACUGGGGUGAAGUCGUAACAAGGUAACCGUAGGGGAACCUGCGGUUGGAUCACCUCCUUACCUUAAAGAA